AUCGCUUCUCGGCCUUUUGGCUAAGAUCAAAGUGUAGUAUCUGUUCUUAUCAGCUUAAUAUCUGAUACGCUCCCCAUUGGGGAGCCAGAAUAUUAAUCUGAUUUUUGGAAGUCGACGGAGUGUCGGGGGCUUGCUCCGGCUCUGUCACGGGUUGUCUCGGCAUUGCAGUGCCGCCGUGUACGGCCCAAUAAUC
rnacentral:snRNA from 1 species